rnacentral:rRNA from 1 species
GACGGAGGAUGCAAGUGUUAUCCGGAAUCACUGGGCGUAAAGCGUCUGUAGGUGGUUUAAUAAGUCAACUGUUAAAUCUUGAGGCUCAACCUCAAAAUCGCAGUCGAAACUAUUAGGCUAGAGUAUAGUAGGGGUAAAGGGAAUUUCCAGUGGAGCGGUGAAAUGCGUAGAGAUUGGAAAGAACACCGAUGGCGAAGGCACUUUACUGGGCUAUUACUAACACUCAGAGACGAAAGCUAGGGUGAGCAAAUGGG